rnacentral:rRNA from 1 species
GGGGGGGGGGGGUCGGGUGSRGSGMGCUAUCGUGCAGUCGAGCGGAGAGAGGUAGCUUGCUACUGAUCUUAGCGGCGGACGGGUGAGUAAUGCUUAGGAAUCUGCCUAUUAGUGGGGGACAACAUUUCGAAAGGAAUGCUAAUACCGCAUACGUCCUACGGGAGAAAGCAGGGGAUCUUCGGACCUUGCGCUAAUAGAUGAGCCUAAGUCGGAUUAGCUAGUUGGUGGGGUAAAGGCCUACCAAGGCGACGAUCUGUAGCGGGUCUGAGAGGAUGAUCCGCCACACUGGGACUGAGACACGGCCCAGACUCCUACGGGAGGCAGCAGUGGGGAAUAUUGGACAAUGGGCGCAAGCCUGAUCCAGCCAUGCCGCGUGUGUGAAGAAGGCCUUAUGGUUGUAAAGCACUUUAAGCGAGGAGGAGGCUACUUUAGUUAAUACCUAGAGAUAGUGGACGUUACUCGCAGAAUAAGCACCGGCUAACUCUGUGCCAGCAGCCGCGGUAAUACAGAGGGUGCAAGCGUUAAUCGGAUUUACUGGGCGUAAAGCGCGCGUAGGCGGCUAAUUAAGUCAAAUGUGAAAUCCCCGAGCUUAACUUGGGAAUUGCAUUCGAUACUGGUUAGCUAGAGUGUGGGAGAGGAUGGUAGAAUUCCAGGUGUAGCGGUGAAAUGCGUAGAGAUCUGGAGGAAUACCGAUGGCGAAGGCAGCCAUCUGGCCUAAGUGACGCUGAUGUGCGAAAGCAUGGGAGCACAGAUAGAUACCCUGUUAGUCCAUGCGUAACGAUGUCUACUAGCGUGGGGGCUUUGAAGGCUUAURGKGGGCSGCRRCCCUUU